UGCGCAGGCGGGGCAAUAAGUCAGUGGUGAAAUCCUGCGGCUUAACCGUAGAACUGCCACUGAUACUGUUGCCCUUGAGUAUAGUUGAGGUGGGCGGAAUAUGUAAUGUAGCGGUGAAAUGCAUAGAUAUUACAUAGAACACCGAUUGCGAAGGCAGCUCACUAAGCUAUCACUGACGCUGAGGCACGAAAGCGUGGGGAGCGAACAGGAUUAGAUACCCUGGUAGUC
rnacentral:rRNA from 1 species